rnacentral:rRNA from 1 species
UACGAAGGGGGCUAGCGUUGUUCGGAAUUACUGGGCGUAAAGCGCACGUAGGCGGAUAAUUAAGUCAGGGGUGAAAUCCCGGGGCUCAACCCCGGAACUGCCUUUGAUACUGGUUAUCUAGAGUAUGGAAGAGGUGAGUGGAAUUCCGAGUGUAGAGGUGAAAUUCGUAGAUAUUCGGAGGAACACCAGUGGCGAAGGCGGCUCACUGGUCCAUUACUGACGCUGAGGUGCGAAAGCGUGGGGAGCAAACAGG